CUGAUACAGUGAUUGUCGGGUUGUUUUCAGUUUGUAGUGCUACCUUGAGGGCCUAAUUUCUGAAUAUGCUAGGUUCUCGGUAUGAAGACUUUUCUUACAGGACCUAAGUUAUGCUUCGUUGCAAACUGUUAGCAUCUCAUUCCGAAAAGAUGAACUGGUACUGUGAUUUUGCCUAAUUUCUGAAUAUUCCACGUAGGUACCUUUCAUAACUAGAAGGUCUCUUUCUUCUCGUGCUUCAUUCAUGAUUGGCAU
rnacentral:lncRNA from 1 species